rnacentral:rRNA from 1 species
GACGAACGCUGGCGGCGUGCUUAACACAUGCAAGUCGAACGGAAAGGCCCUGCUUUUGUGGGGUGCUCGAGUGGCGAACGGGUGAGUAACACGUGAGUAACCUGCCCUUGACUUUGGGAUAACUUCAGGAAACUGGGGCUAAUACCGGAUAGGAGCUCCUGCUGCAUGGUGGGGGUUGGAAAGUUUCGGCGGUUGGGGAUGGACGCGCGGCUUAUCAGCUUGUUGGUGGGGUAGUGGCUUACCAAGGCUUUGACGGGUAGCCGGCCUGAGAGGGUGACCGGCCACAUUGGGACUGAGACACGGCCCAGACUCCUACGGGAGGCAGCAGUGGGGAAUAUUGCACAAUGGGCGGAAGCCUGAUGCAGCAACGCCGCGUGCGGGAUGACGGCCUUCGGGUUGUAAACCGCUUUCGCCUGUGACGAAGCGUUAGUGACGGUAAUGGGUAAAGAAGCACCGGCUAACUACGUG